rnacentral:rRNA from 1 species
GACGAACGCUGGCGGCGGGCUUAACACAUGCAAGUCGAACGGAAAGGCCCUGCUUUUGUGGGGUGCUCGAGUGGCGAACGGGUGAGUAACACGUGAGUAACCUGCCCUUGACUUUGGGAUAACUUCAGGAAACUGGGGCUAAUACCGGAUAGGAGCUCCCGCUGCAUGGUGGGGGGGGGAAAGUUUCGGCGGUUGGGGAUGGACUGGCGGCUUAUCAGCUUGUUGGUGGGGUAGUGGUAUACCAAGGCUUUGACGGGUAGCCGGCCUGAGAGGGGGACCGGGCACAAUGGGACUGCGAGACGGCGCAGUGUGGUAUGGGAGGCAACAGGGGGGAGUAUGGCACAGUGGGCGCAAGUCUGAGGCAGCAACGCUGCGUGCGGGAUGACGGCCUUCGGGUUGUAAACAGCUGUCGCCUGAGACGAAGCGGUAGUGACGGUAAUGGGUGAAGAAGCACCGGCUAACUACGUG